CAUUCAAGUUUCUGACCUAUCAUGCUGGAUGGUAGUGUAUUGGACUACCAAGGCAGUCACGGGUAACGGAGAAUUAGGUUCGAUCCGGAGAAGGAGCCUGAGAAACGGCUACUACAUCUAAGGAAGGCAGCAGGCGCGUAAAUUACCCAAUCCUAAAUCAGGGAGGUAGUGACAAGAUAUAACAACGCGAUUAAAUAUCGCGAUUGUAGUGAGGGUAUUCUAAAAAUAGCUUCGAGUACGAUUGGAGGGCAAGUCUGGUGCCAGCAGCCGCGGUAAUUCCAGCUCCAAUAGCGUAUAUUAAAGUUGUUGCAGUUAAAAAGACUCGUAGUUGGAUUUCAAGAAACGCAUCUGGGCAACCAGUUUGCUUUCUACCAGUCUUUGACUGUUACUGUGAGAAAAUUAGAGUGUUUCAAGCAGGCAAUUGCAGGAAUACAUUAGCAUGGAAUAACGAAUGUAUCUACAAUUUGGUUGAUUGUAGAAUACGAUUAAUAGGGACAGUUGGGGGC
rnacentral:rRNA from 1 species